rnacentral:rRNA from 1 species
GAACGCUGAAGCCCUGGUGCUUGCCGGGGUGGAUGAGUGGCGAACGGGUGAGUCACACGUGAGUCACCUGCCCCCGACUUCGGGAUAAGCCCGGGAAACUGGGUCUAAUACCGGAUAUGACCAAACGAGGCAUCUCGUUUGGUGGAAAGUUUUUUCGGUUGGGGAUGGGCUCGCGGCCUAUCAGUUUGUUGGUGAGGUAAUGGCUCACCAAGACGACGACGGGUAGCCGGCCUGAGAGGGCGACCGGCCACACUGGGACUGAGACACGGCCCAGACUCCUACGGGAGGCAGCAGUGGGGAAUAUUGCACAAUGGGGGAAACCCUGAUGCAGCNACGCAGCGUGCGGAAUGACGGCCUUCGGGUUGUAAACCGCUUUCAGCAGGGAAGAAGCCCCUCGGGGUGACGGUACCUGCAGAAGAAGUACCGGCUAACUACGUGCCAACAGCCGCGGUAAUACGUAGGGUACAAGCCUUGUCCGGAAUUAUUGGGCGUAAAGAGCUCGUAGGUGGUUGGUCACGUCUNCUGUGGAAACGCAACGCUUAACGUUGCGCGUNCAGUGGGUACGGGCUGACUAGAGUNCAGUAGGGGAGUCUGGAAUUCCUGGUGUAGCGGUGAAAUGCGCAGAUAUCAGGAGGAA